rnacentral:rRNA from 1 species
UGAGGAACAUGACCUUCGGCGGGGGAUAGCCGGCCCAACGGCCGGGUAAUACCGCGUACGACCACAUGGGGACAUCCCCGAGUGGUGAAAGCAGCAAUGCGCCGAUGGAGUGCCUCGCGGCCUAUCAGCUAGUUGGUAAGGUAACGGCUUACCAAGGCGACGAUCAGUAGCCGACCUGAGAGGGUGACCGGCACACUGGGACUGAGACACGGCCCAGACUCCGUAGGGNGCAGCAGG